rfam:Ciona savignyi cont_32442, whole genome shotgun sequence.
AAAACGGCUAUUUUCAGAGCCACCCUAAUUUUUUAAAAGAGAUACA